AACGCAUCUUGCGCUCCUUGGUAUUCCGAGGAGCAUGCCUGUUUGAGUGUCAUUAUAUUCUCAACUCUCCAAUACUUUGUUGUAAAGGAGAGCUUGGAUUGUGGAGGUUUGCUGGCCCCUUACUUGGGGUCAGCUCCUCUGAAAUGCAUUAGCGGAACCGUCUGCGAUCUGCCACAAGUGUGAUAACUUAUCUACACUGGCGAGGGGAUUGCUUUCUGAUGUUCAGCUUCUAAUCGUCUAAGGACAAUUUCUUGAAUGCUUGACCUCAAAUCAGGUAGGACUACCCGCUGAACUUAA
rnacentral:misc_RNA from 1 species